rnacentral:misc_RNA from 1 species
GGAAGAACGUAGCGAAAUGCGAUAAGUAAUGUGAAUUGCAGAAUUCAGUGAAUCAUCGAAUCUUUGAACGCACAUUGCGCCCAUUAGUAUUCUAGUGGGCAUGCCUGUUCGAGCGUCAUUAAGUCCACUUAAGCCCUGCUUAGUGUUGGGAGACUGCUCCAGCGGUGCUACCCUGUAGCUACCCUGCAGCUCCUCAAAGACAGCGGCGGAGUUGUGGUAUCCUCUGAGCUUAGUAACUUGUUCUAGCUUUCGAGUACACCACUUCCCCUGCCGUAAAACCCUUAAUUUUUAAUGGUUGACCUCGGAUCAGGUAGGAAUACCCGCUGAACUUAAGCAUAUCAAUAAGCGGAGGA